rnacentral:rRNA from 1 species
GACGAACGCUGGCGGCGUGCUUAACACAUGCAAGUCGAACGAUGAAGCCGGAGCUUGCUCCGGUGGAUUAAUGGCGAACGGGUGAGUAACACGUGAGCAAUCUGCCCUUGACUCUGGGAUAACUGCGGGAAACUGUAGCUAAUACCGGAUACGACACCUUGGGGCAUCCCAGGGUGUGGAAAGAAUUUCGGUCAAGGAUGAGCUCGCGGCCUAUCAGCUAGUUGGUGAGGUAAUGGCUCACCAAGGCGACGACGGGUAGCCGGCCUGAGAGGGUGACCGGCCACACUGGAACUGAGACACGGUCCAGACUCCUACGGGAGGCAGCAGUGGGGAAUAUUGCACAAUGGGCGAAAGCCUGAUGCAGCAACGCCGCGUGAGGGGUGAAGGCCUUCGGGUUGUAAACCUCUUUUAGCAGGGAAGAAGCGAAAGUGACGGUACCUGCAGAAAAAGCACCGGCUAACUACGUGCCAGCAGCCGCGGUAAAAC